GUCUAUAUGGUGUAUUAUAUAUAGUCUAGCCUGCCCACUGAAUAAUUUAAAGGGCCGCGGUAUUCUGACCGUGCUAAGGUAGCAUAAUAAAUAGUCUUUUAAUUGAGGUCUGGUAUGAAUGGUUGGACAUGAAGUUAGCUGUUUCAAUUAUAAAGAUUGAAUUUUACUUUUAAGUGAAAAGGCUUAAAUUUAGUGAGGGGACGAUAAGACCCUAUAAAGCUUUAUAUUUUGCUUAAGAGUUUAAGGGUUUUAGGUUUCUAACAUUUUUAAGCAAAGUAUUUCGUUGGGGCGACGAGAAUAUAAUUAAUAACUGUUCUUAUAGUAAAAUAAAUAUUAUUAGUAAAAUUGAUCCUUUGUAAAGAUUAUAAGAGUUAAGCUACUUUAGGGAUAACAGCGUAAUUUUUUUUGAGAGUUCAUAUCGACAAAAAUAGUUGCGACCUCGAUGUUGAAUUAAGAUAUUUCCAAGGUGUAGAAGUUUUGGUGGUAGGUCUGUUCGACCUUUAAAAUCUU
rnacentral:rRNA from 1 species